CCGAGUUUACAACUCCCAAACCCAAUGUGAACCAUACCAAACUGUUGCCUCGGCGGGGUCACGCCCCGGGUGCGUCGCAGCCCCGGAGCCAGGCGCCCGCCGGAGGGACCAACCAAACUCCUUCUGUAGUCCCCUCGCGGACGUUAUUUCUUACAGCUCUGAGCAAAAAUUCAAAAUGAAUCA
rnacentral:misc_RNA from 1 species